AGAGUGAACGCUGGCGGUAGGCCUAACACAUGCAAGUCGAACGGCAGCACGGUAAGAGCUUGCUCUUAUGGGUGGCGAGUGGCGGACGGGUGAGGAAUACAUCGGAAUCUACCUUUUGGUGGGGGAUAACGUAAGGAAACUUACGCUAAUACCGCAUACGCCCUUCGGGGGAAAGCCGGGGACCAGCAAUGGCCUGGCGCUGAUAGAUGAGCCGAUGUCGGAUUAGCUAGUUGGUGAGGUAAUGGCUCACCAAGGCGACGAUCCGUAGCUGGUCUGAGAGGAUGAUCAGCCACACUGGAACUGAGACACGGUCCAGACUCCUACGGGAGGCAGCAGUGGGAAUAGUUGGACAAUGGGCGCAAGCCUGAUCCAGCCAUACCGCGUGGUGAAGAAGGCCGUUGGUUGUAAGUCCCGUUUAGGUUAGGAAAGUAAAGCGUAGUUACGGUUAACGUACCCGGUUGUUCCGUAGACGGUAACCCAAAGAAGUAACGACGACCGCUAACUUCGUCGCCAGCACGCCG
rnacentral:rRNA from 1 species